ensembl:lncRNA
GUUGUAUGAGUGGUGGAUGGUGGUGAGGUUGUAUGGGUGGUGGUGAGGUUGUAUGGGUGGUGGUGAGGUUGUAUGGGUGGUGGUGAGGUUGUAUGGAUGGUGGUGAGGUUGUAUGGGUGGUGGUGAGGUUGUAUGGAUGGUGGAUGGUGGUGAGGUUGUAUGGGUGGUGGUGAGGUUGUAUGGGUGGUGGAUGGUGGUGAGGUUGUAUGGGCGGUGGAUGGUGGUGAGGUUGUAUGGGCGGUGGAUGGUGGUGAGGUUGUAUGAGUGGUGGAUGGUGGUGAGGUUGUAUGAGUGGUGGAUGGUGGUGAGGUUGUAUGAGUGGUGGAUGGUGGUGAGGUUGUAUGGGUGGUGGAUGGUGGUGAGGUUGUAUGGGUGGUGGAUGGUGGUGAGGUUGUAUGGGUGGUGGAUGGUGGUGAGGUUGUAUGAGUGGUGGAUGGUGGUGAGGUUGUAUGAGUGGUGGAUGGUGGUGAGGUUGUAUGGAUGGUGGUGAG